rnacentral:pre_miRNA from 1 species
ACAUUACUUUCUCCGUCCAACAAAAGAUGUUUCAAGUUUGUCAAAACUUGGAUGUAUUUAGACAUGACUUAGCGUAUAGAUGCAUUCAAAUUUGAUCAAAAUUAAGACAUCCUAACUUUGUUGGACGGAGGAAGUACUUG